rnacentral:rRNA from 1 species
GAUGAACGCUGGCGGCGUGCCUAAUACAUGCGAGUCGAGCGAACAGACGAGGAGCUUGCUCCUCUGACGUUAGCGGCGGACGGGUGAGUAACACGUGGAUAACCUACCUAUAAGACUGGGAUAACUUCGGGAAACCGGAGCUAAUACCGGAUAAUAUAUUGAACCGCAUGGUUCAAUAGUGAAAGACGGUUUUGCUGUCACUUAUAGAUGGAUCCGCGCCGCAUUAGCUAGUUGGUAAGGUAACGGCUUACCAAGGCAACGAUGCGUAGCUGACCUGAGAGGGUGAUCGGCCACACUGGAACUGAGACACGGUCCAGACUCCUACGGGAGGCAGCAGUAGGGAAUCUUCCGCAAUGGGCGAAAGCCUGACGGAGCAACGCCGCGUGAGUGAUGAAGGUCUUCGGAUCGUAAAACUCUGUUAUUAGGGAAGAACAAAUGUGUAAGUAACUAUGCACGUCUUGACGGUACCUAAUCAGAAAGCCACGGCUAACUACGUG